UAAGUAGAAGCCAAAAAGGCGUUUGUCUGUUACACAAAUCCCUGCUUUCCCAUAAGCCUACUUAG
rnacentral:tRNA from 1 species